CGAACCUACAAGGAAAAAAACCCAGACACAUAGAAAUAUAUUUAAAAUGAAUUUAUUGAAUAUAUUUCUCUGUUUUAAAUUUUUGAUUCAGCUUGUCUAAAUUCUGCAAAAUUAUCUAUCAUUUCUUACAGAACACAUUUUUAUAAUAGUGUCAUAAAUGUGCAAUGACAAUAAAGAACCACAUUUUCAAUUUGCUUGCAUAAAACCCACCCAUAACACUUGCACACACUGCACACAUUUGCAUGCCCAAAUACUCAUUUGCAUGUUUAACUGUUUUGUAUGUGCAAAUCUACUUUUUGGUUUUGUGAGGACAACAGAUGCCCAUGCAAUAUUUGCAGGAGCAACUUAGGCAAUCGGUUUUGAAAGUAUGUUUCAAAAGCUUUACACAGCUUUCAAUAUUGUAGCACUUUUUACAUUGGUCAAGAGAUCAAAUAUCUAAACAGCUGACCCAAGAGCUAAAAGAAAGUCUUCAGAGAUGUCCAAUAAGUCACCAUGGCCUAUGUUGACUUCAUGCAUUAUGCAGAUACAUUGUGCAACCUUUUACACCAUGAAACUGGUCCUGCUAAACUAUGAACAAACUGUCCCCUCACUGAAAAUAUCAAAGCCUCUACUGGUAAAUACAGCCGUAUUGCCACUUGCUCUUUUCUUUCUCUGAUGCUAUGAUAAAGCAUAAUAUUUGAGAAGAUAUCCAUAGGUAUGAAGCUAGGAAACAUCUUUACAAAAUUCAGGGGAUCCAACAUAUUUUCUGACCUGUACCAUCAUUAUCUUUAGCUGUACCUGGCAUAUUCCCAAUUAUAUAAAUAUCUCGUAGUUACAGAAAACACAAGUAGAAACAAAAUCCAUUAGGUCAUUUAAUCUAACCCUCUACCGAUAAAAGAUUGUUUUCCGUCAUAUAUUUUCUGGUAUCUUGUCCAUUUUACUUUUAAUGUCUCAAAACACAGGGUGUAGCCUUCAUUUAUGCCUGGAAACUAUAUCACAGAUUAACGGAUUUUACUGUCCCAAUGUCUUGUUCUAAUCAUCAGCCUAAAUUUUUCCUUUCUUAAUUUCAUCUCCAGUACUCCCAGUUAUACCCCCUUGCUCCUUCUCUAAGAAGCUUCAUCAAAAAAUGCAAAGAAGCAACCAGGGUCUUUUCUAAAAACAGUGCAAAGUAAAACAAUUUAAAGCUGUAUUGCUCAGCUGCAAAUGGUAUAAAGAAUGGAAGCUGCAGAAAAGACUUCAGCUAUUUCUCUUCUCCUGCUCUUGAAUACUGAGCAAUGAUGAUUGCAGAGAUUUUGCAGCCUUCGGUAAUAGUCUGAUUCUGCUCCUACACUUUCAGUAGUUUCAUUUCACACAUCUUGAAGGUUGCUGGACAAUGUGAUUUUUCUUGGCCUGACCUGAAGACAGCGAUUUUGGAGCCUCUAGUCCCAGCACAAAUAUGAAAUGCCUAAAUUUACUACAGCUGCAAAUAUUAAUUCUCAAGAUUAAUAUGUUAAGGCCCAGAUUUUUAAAUAUAUUUAGGUAUUGCUGUGCUUACAGCUGCAAUGCCUAACUGGUUUAGGAACCUACAUCUCAUUUUCAAAAGUAAUUUAGGCAAUUUAUCUAAAACCAUCUAAGUUAAAUAGGAGUUUGUCUCCUAAUAGCCUAAAUCCCAUUAGAAAAUGAGAUUUAGGCUCCUAAAUCAGUUAGGAAUUGCAACACUGAGCAAAGCAAUGCUUAAGUACCUUUAAAAAUCUGGGCCAAAGAGACUACCCCUGCAAUAUUUUCCUUUACAUUUUACUGUUUACUGACAUGUUUGUUAAGGAGAGAUGGGAAAGGAGAAAUAAUCACGCAGAAGAGAACAAGGCAACUAUUUCUGCAUGAUGCCAGAUCAAAAUAUACAUUUAAAAAAAUGAAGACAAAUGGCAGCUAAAGAAACUGGUGAAUGUACUUGCUUUCUUUUUCAUCAGAUCUACUAUACUGAUGUCACUGCAUCUUUCCAGACUUCUUGAUGGAAUGAUCAGAUGUUCCCAGUACAAAAUGAGAACCAUGGCCUGCAUCUCUCUGAUGCAAGUGCUACUAUGCCCUAGAACAGAAGAAAUGUUGGGCCAGGACAAGCGACCUCCUUCCUGUUGUGCAGUGGCACUGAACGAAGCGUUCCAGUGAGAGAGAACAGUCAGAGGAUCAUUUUCAUGAAUGCUACAUUCACCCACAUACAUUUUAAAGAAAAAUGUAAUCAAUCAUGUAAUACAAGACAUGACUCUAUCAAGGGCUUCUAGUGAGAUCGUAUACAACGAAAGCAAACCUCUCAUCAGCAGAGCCCAGAUAAUGAAUUUCCCUCUGUCACGUUGCUGCAUGUUAAUUCUUUUUUGGCAGCUAAAGAUGGAAUAUUUCUAUAUGAAAUCAGCAAUAAGACAAUUAACAUCAGCAAUAAGAACAUAAAAUUUCACAUCCAUUGUAAUGUAAUUUUUUAAAAAAAGGUUUGCUGCUUUUUACAAAUCAUAUGAUAUUGGAAUAUAGUAAAAUGUUACCAUUAGGGCAGUAUAUUAGAUUGUCUCUAGUCCUAACUUGAAUUGCAACUGAACUUUCACCUAAAAAAUUCAUUCUGCUGAAGUGCCUUGGAAGCUGUAUUAGUUACAAAACUUUAAAGAAUCAGGAAACUUUAAAAAGAGGCAAAUAUUUUACUUUCCCUAGUAGGUAAAGAGGCUUUUCUUUUCUAGGAGAGAAGGUACAUUUUGGUUAGUCAGUAGAAACACGGCAGAGUGCGAACGGUAGUGAGCAGAGGUUAUCCAGAUUUAUAUCAGUGUAACUGAGAUUAGAAUAGUUUUUAGGAUGCAACACUGUUCAUUCAUUCUGUUCCAAUGGCAGUGUCCCUUGCCCUUCCGUUUAUUGAUGUUGUCCAAGCGCCAUUGUUCUUAUUCAUAUCCAACCCCAAAAGGGACCAUUAUAACCUCCUGUGCAACGAAGUCUGACCUCCUGUGCAACAAAGACCAUAGAACUUCCCAAAGAUAAUUCCUAGAGCAGAGCUUCUAGAAAAAACAU